GGAAGUAAAAGUCGUAACAAGGUUUCCGUAGGUGAACCUGCGGAAGGAUCAUUCACACAUCAAAUUCACAUAACGUGAACCAGUCAGUUGUACUAAUUAUUUAGUGCAAUUGGCUAUAAACAUAUGUUGGGUUAAUUAUCAAGACUUACCUAAGCUUCUAUUAACUAUCAGCGAUGGAUGUCUUGGCUCCCACAACGAUGAAGGCCGCAGCAAAAUGCGAUAAUCAUUGUGAAUUGCAGACUUCUUAGAAUCAACAGAACGCUGAACGCAUACGGCACUGUACUUGUACAGUAGGUCUGUUUCAGAGUCACUUUCGAUCUUCCCCAAACAUCCGUAAAAAGAUGCGAAGGAAGGCAAGGUACUGCUCGUCAUGUUUAAUGAUUGGCAGUCGCAUUGUUCUAUGGCUACUCGUUUUCAACACAUUCGAUUAAUUUCGGUUGUUAAAAAUGGGUAUAAAAGCUAUAGCUUACAACUUAUAUGACCUGAAAUCAGACCAGGCUACCCGCUGGACUUAAGCAUAUUAGUCAGCGGAGGAAAGGGCGAUCCAAUCGAAUUCCUCUGCGA
rnacentral:rRNA from 1 species